UGAAGGCUGCAGUGAGCUAUGGUUGCGCCACUGCACUCCAGCCUGGGCAACUGAAUGAGACCCCAACUCAAAAAAGUGCUGUUCUAGAAACAGAGGUACUAAGAUAAGAAGCAGGGCAAAACCCUGUGUGUCUCCAACUUACCUAACACACCAUCCGCUGUAGGAUUAGGACCCAGACACGUGUAGCUGCAGGCCAUGCUGACUUCCAUCUGCUCUCUUUUCUCUGCAUUCUUCUUUUGUGUCACUUCCCUGUCUUGUCAGUACUUGUAAUUCUCAUACUCCUGCUCUCCCCUACAACCUCAUGCCUUAGUAUUAAUAGGGUAUGGCAGGGAAAAACUCACUUAGUUUCCAUUUUGUUCUUGGAGAAGAAAAAUUUGGAGACAUUUCCAAAAUGGCAUGUACAUCAUAAUUCUUAUUGACAACAUUUAUAAGAAACUUUGACUGUAGUGAUUAUCAAGAUACAUGCUUCGAAUAUUUAUUCCGUCUUUCCCCACCUUUCAAAAUAAGGAUUUAGAGCAGGAGUUGGCAGGGCCAAAUCCAGCCUGCAGCCUAUUUUGGAAAUAAAGUUGUUGGGACGCUGCCAUCCCCAUUCACUCACGUACUAUGCAUGACUGCUUUCAUGCUUCCAUGACAGAGCCGAGUGGUUGCAACAGAGACCGAAUGGCCUGCAACGCCUAAAAUAUUUACUUUCUGGACCUUUACAGGAAGUUUGCCAACCCCUGAUUUAGGAAGUGAAAACCUAAAUGGGGAAGUCUUACAUACUUUAACGUAUCUUAGCAAGCACUGCUUUGUUAAUGUAUAUGGACAGCACUUAAAAUAUAUCAAUAAACAAUUCUGAUCAGUAAACAUUUAUUUAGAGCCUAUUGUGGCCCAGAGAGUGUCCUGUGCUCAGAGGCAUAAAUACCAAUAACACCCCAUCUCUCCCCUCAUGGAACUCAGUCUCGGGGGAGAGGAAUAUGUAAAUGAUAAGUGCAAUGCAAUGUGACACAAAUAAAAUCAAGAGGAAGAGAAUCAGAAAAAAAAGGAAAGGGAACUGAUUAAUUCUGUCAGAAGUAGAGAAAGGCUUAACAAGAUAAAUGAUAUGUAUUAAGUUGUAGGAAAUGUUAGAGAAACAGCUUUCUUUAGUAUUUUUUGAGUUAGAAAGCAAGUUUUUAGCUUGGGGUCAGAAUAUUUUUAGAGAAAAAUUUUAAAAUAUGCCUAAAUCUGAAAUUCUGGAUUUAAAAAAGUGAAAAUCUGCAUGUGCCUCUUACACCUAAUGACGAAUUCUAAUUGCAGAAGAAUGCCAAUAACUAAAACCACAAAAUGAACCCUAUGUAUACUGGUGACCUUCUUUACUCAGAAUUAAUUAACACAAGCACUUGUUUCUUGCAGAGCACUUUGCUGUAAUUUAGAACAAAUUAAGGGAAAAAAUCAUUCAAGUGCUGUUUUCUUCACACCAUGAAGUAGGCGUGAUGGACCAAAGUUAACUCAUUUAAAAUAUUAUCAUCCAUUUCUUGUAAUUAUGAAUAGCAAUACCAUCUUUUUUCUUCAAAAAAAAAAAAAAGACAUCCUGUUCUAUGCUAUUUUCAACUUGUUUCCUGUGCUUCUAUUUAUUAAUGGAAAUUGAUUUUUCAAGAUUAAUGUAAAAUGUGUUUCUGUUUCUCCCAUUAAGUCUCUUAUUUAUAUUAGAUUCAAUGUAUAUGUUCCUGGAUAUUUUUCAAAUAAAUAUAUUUUUAAUAUAA